UACGUAGGGGGCAAGCGUUGUUCGGAAUUACUGGGCGUAAAGGGCGCGUAGGCGGUGCACUAAGUCAGGCGUGAAAGCCCUGGGCUCAACCCGGGAAUUGCGCUUGAUACUGGUGCGCUUGAAUCCAGGAGAGGUUGGUGGAAUUCCCAGUGUAGAGGUGAAAUUCGUAGAUAUUGGGAAGAACACCAACGGCGAAAGCGAUCUGCUGGGCCGACACUGACACUGAGAGACGAAAGCUAGGGGAGCGAAUGGG
rnacentral:rRNA from 1 species